rnacentral:rRNA from 1 species
UACAGAGGGUGCAAGCGUUGUUCGGAAUUAUUGGGCGUAAAGAGCGUGUAGGCGGUUUGGUAGGUCCGCUGUGAAAACUCGAGGCUCAACCUCGAGACGCCGGUGGAAACCAUCAGGCUAGAGUCCGGAAGAGGAGAGUGGAAUUCCUGGUGUAGCGGUGAAAUGCGCAGAUAUCAGGAAGAACACCCGUGGCUAAGGCGGCUCUCUAGUACGGUACUGACGCUGAGACGCGAAAGCGUGGGGAGCGAACAGG